rnacentral:lncRNA from 1 species
CUGUUUGGAGUGGGUGCGAAUUCCCAAGUAAGAAUUUCGCUCCAAAAUUGAGGAUUGGGUCUACGUUGCGAGCGGAAAAUGCUACGCGUAGUUGAGACACGUUAGGCGAUAGACCUACGUAGUGUUUGCGACCGUUGGUUCACCUGUGGAAGCCGACGUAAUCGGUUUAGCCGAUAACUCCGUGGAGGAGUUGGUGCAAGGAG